UCGAUUCAACCUGAGAUGGAUCCGAGCGGUCGCAAGACUGCUCUCCAUUUCUAACACACACCUGUGCACCUGUUGUAGGUCCCGCAAGGGAUCUAUGUCUUUCUCAUAUACUCCAAACUGUUAUUAGAAUGUACCCUUUUUGCUUCUCGCGAGAGAACAAAAAUAAAAACCUUUA
rnacentral:misc_RNA from 1 species